rnacentral:lncRNA from 1 species
AUUAUGGUGCUUUUAAUUUUUUUACUCUGGGAUACUAAAUAAUUGGUGCUUAUAGAUUUUUUGGCCAUCCGAUUAAAAAAUAUGUGGUUAGGAUGACGUGAACCCCUUAGGGUUAAGUGAGCGUUUGGUUGAAUAAUAUAAUCUAACAGAUGAAAAUGAUUAAAGGCGUAGAUCUAAUGAUAAAAAAUUUACAAGCAUCAAGUACUUGGUAUUUUUACAAGCACCAUAUAUAGCUGGACUCUCUCUCUCUUUCUCUAUCUCUCUCUAUAUAUAUGAGAAAAUAUAAGGAAAAACUUUAAAUACCGCCCCUGUGGUUUCGCACUUUCUCACUUUAGUACCUUGUGGUUUAAAAUGUAUCAAGUUAAUGCCAUAUGGUUUCGCACUUUCUCACUUUAGUACCAUGUGGUUUAAACUGUAUCAAGGUAGUACUCUGUGGUUUCAUUUUUGUAUCAAGUUAGUAUCCUGUGGUUUCAUUUUUCUCUUUUUAUUAUUCAUUUCGGGGCAUUUUUUCGUUAAAUCAGUAACAAAAUUAAAACUAAAGAGUACUAAAAUGAAUAAUUGAUAAACUUAGGUAAGGUAUUUGAAGCUUUUUGUAUAUAAUUUAAUAAAAUAUUAAACCACAUGGUACUAAAGUGAGAAAGUACGAAACCAUAUGGUACUCGAUCACUUGAUAUACUUUAAACCAUAGAGUACUAAAGUGAAAAAGUGCGAAACCACAUGAGAGUAUUUUGAAGUUUUUCCAAAAUAUAAGUUUAUUUUAGUUUCAAAGUUCUUUUAUAAGAGCUCUCUCUUGCCUCCUAUCGUAGU